AACCCCGUAGGACCGCCCAGUCGGCAGCCCCUACGAACCGUAGUACACCGCAUGGCAAGGCACAGUGAUGUCAGUCCCACGUGGGAGGCCACGCGGGCGAUCUACACGUCUGGCGAUUUGGACGGCCCAGGAUCGAUCCCCCGCGUGUGGAAGGUCCAGAUUUAUUUCUCCCUUAGGCCUGAUCGGACGACCGAGAUCAAUCACGAUGGAUAAUCCAGAUUGACACAGAUUGGGUAUAAAUACUUCACGUCAUAUAGGUACCCAAACCAUAGCCGCCAGCCCUCGUCGAAGAAGAAGAACCAGGAGUCAGAGAAGGAGGUUGACCACCGAUCGCCAAU
rnacentral:lncRNA from 1 species